rnacentral:rRNA from 1 species
AUUGAACGCUGGCGGCAGGCCUAACACAUGCAAGUCGAGCGGAUGAAGGGAGCUUGCUCCUGGAUUCAGCGGCGGACGGGUGAGUAAUGCCUAGGAAUCUGCCUGGUAGUGGGGGAUAACGUCCGGAAACGGGCGCUAAUACCGCAUACGUCCUGAGGGAGAAAGGGGGGAUCUUCGGACCUCACGCUAUCAGAUGAGCCUAGGUCGGAUUAGCUAGUUGGUGGGGUAAAGGCCUACCAAGGCGACGAUCCGUAACUGGUCUGAGAGGAUGAUCAGUCACACUGGAACUGAGACACGGUCCAGACUCCUACGGGAGGCAGCAGUGGGGAAUAUUGGACAAUGGGCGAAAGCCUGAUCCAGCCAUGCCGCGUGUGUGAAGAAGGUCUUCGGAUUGUAAAGCACUUUAAGUUGGGAGGAAGGGCAGUAAGUUAAUACCUUGCUGUUUUGACGUUACCAACAGAAUAAGCACCGGCUAACUUCGUG